UCGGGAUAGCUCAGCUGGUAGAGCAGAGGACUGAAAAUCCUCGUGUCA
rnacentral:tRNA from 18 species